GAUGAACGCUGGCGGCGUGCCUAAUACAUGCAAGUCGAACGCUGAAGGAGGAGCUUGCUCUUCUGGAUGAGUUGCGAACGGGUGAGUAACGCGUAGGUAACCUGCCUGGUAGCGGGGGAUAACUAUUGGAAACGAUAGCUAAUACCGCAUGACAACAGUUAUUGCAUGAUAACUGUUUAAAAGAGGCAACUGCUCCACUACCAGAUGGACCUGCGUUGUAUUAGCUAGUUGGUGAGGUAACGGCUCACCAAGGCGACGAUACAUAGACGACCUGAGAGGGUGAUCGGCCACACUGGGACUGAGACACGGCCCAGACUCCUACGGGAGGCAGCAGUAGGGAAUCUUAGGCAAUGGACGGAAGUCUGACCGAGCAACGCCGCGUGAGUGAAGAAGGGUUUCGGAUCGUAAAGCUCUGUUGUAAGAGAAGAACGAGUGUGAGAGUGGAAAGUUCACAAUGUGACGGUAUCUGAACAGAAAGGGACGGCUAACUACGUG
rnacentral:rRNA from 1 species